GAUGAACGCUGGCGGCGUGCCUAAUACAUGCAAGUCGAGCGAACAGAUGAGGAGCUUGCUCCUCUGACGUUAGCGGCGGACGGGUGAGUAACACGUGGAUAACCUACCUAUAAGACUGGGAUAACUUCGGGAAACCGGAGCUAAUACCGGAUAAUAUAUUGAACCGCAUGGUUCAAUAGUGAAAGACGGUUUUGCUGUCACUUAUAGAUGGAUCCGCGCCGCAUUAGCUAGUUGGUAAGGUAACGGCUUACCAAGGCAACGAUGCGUAGCCGACCUGAGAGGGUGAUCGGCCACACUGGAACUGAGACGCGGUCCAGACUCCUACGGGAGGCAGCAGUAGGGAAUCUUCCGCAAUGGGCGAAAGCCUGACGGAGCAACGCCGCGUGAGUGAUGAAGGUCUUCGGAUCGUAAAACUCUGUUAUUAGGGAAGAACAAAUGUGUAAGUAACUAUGCACGUCUUGGCGGUACCUAAUCAGAAAGCCACGGCUAACUACGUG
rnacentral:rRNA from 1 species